rnacentral:rRNA from 1 species
UACAGGGGGGGCAAGCGUUGUUCGGAAUUACUGGGCGUAAAGGGCCAGUAGGCGGCCAACUAAGUCCGACGUGAAAUCCCCAGGCUUAACCUGGGAACUGCGUCGGAUACUGGAUGGCUUGAAUUCGGGAGAGGGAUGCAGAAUUCCAGGUGUAGCGGUGAAAUGCGUAGAUAUCAGGAGGAAUACCGGUGGCGAAAGCGACUCUCUGGACGGCAACUGACGCUGAGGCACGAAAGCGUGGGGAGCAAACAGG